GAGGCAGCCUCCUGGUAGAACUAUGUAAUCCACUAAGUGGCACCAGAGGGAGUCAUGGUAUUGAACUCAUCACUGGCUUAAUAUACUUUCUGGACUCCACAUAUCACUGAGACAGUUCAAUUAUUGACUGAAACAUAAUAGCAGCAAGUGGAAAGACUUCAAAAUAUCUAGGUGACUGGAUACAUAUAAUGUGAAAAGUUAUAAUACGUGUUUACUAUGUACCAUUGAGUAGUGGAGAUACAAGAACGAGCUGUGUGACACUGACAAUAAAAAUGUUGAGUGAUUUUUAAAGUGUGUAAGAUGGAAGUUGUGAAAUGGAAAGUAUACAACUGAAGCUGAAUCUCGAUAAAGUCAACUUGAUUAAUCUAAAAGUUACAGCUGUUGAUAUUGAUAAAUACAACUAUAAAGCAGUGACAGUAAAUAAUUAAAAAAUAAAAAAGUGGCUCAGUAUAGUGUGGUAGAUAUAAAGUGGUUUAGCGUGUGUUUAAUGUUGUGACAGUUCACAGCAGAGAAAAAGUGUUAACAUUAUUGAGCACAUUAUGUUUUGCUUUGUACAAACAUAGUUCUGAAAAUACUGGACUCGAGUGUAAAAUGUGAAUAAAAAAGAGCAAGCAGUGAUUUGCAAAUGUCAAAGGCAAAGUUUGUUCACAGUAGAACAUAGAAAACAUGUCAAAUGUUUACACCAAGACUACGUCGUUAAAAAUAAGUCCAUUUUAAUUUGAUGGCAGCAAUAUGUUUCAAAACAGUUGGGAUGGGGCAAGAGAAGGCUG